UCAAGCUAAAAAGGGCGCAAGGUGAAUGCCUUGGCACUGGGAGCCGAUGAAAGACGUGGUAAGCUGCGAAAAGCUUCGGGGAGGAGCAAACAUCCAUUGAUCCGGAGAUAUCUGAAUGGGGCAACCCAAUGGAGUUCAUACUCCAUUAUCCAAUACUGAAUCCAUAGGUAUUGGAAGGGAACCGCCUGAACUGAAACAUCUAAGUAGGGCGAGGAAGAGACAUCAAACGAGAUUCCGUAAGUAGUGGCGAGCGAACGCGGAAGAGGGCAAACCGAGAGGAGAAAUCCUUUCGGGGUACGGACUGCUUUUAGGACUGGAAGAGUUAACAGAAUGGCAUGGGAAGGCCAACCGAAGAGUGUGAGAGUCACGUAAGUAAAAAUUCUGACAGCUGCGCAGGAUCCAGAGUACGGCCAGACACGUGAAACCUGGUCGGAACAUGGGGGGACCACCCUCCAACCCUAAAUACUACCCAGUGACCGAUAGCGUAUAGUACUGUGAAGGAAAGGUGAAAAGGACCCCGGGAGGGGAGUGAAAGAGAACCUGAAACCUUGUGCCUACAAGCACAUAGAGCCCGUCAAAGGGUGAUAUGGUACUUUUUGUAGAACGGUCCGGCGAGCGAUUGUACGUUGCGAGCUUAAGGUCUUAAGGACUGGAGGCGUAGCGAGAGCGAGUCUAAACAGGGCGUUUAGUAGCGUGCAAUGGGCCCGAAACCGGGUGACCUACCCAUGAUCAGGCUGAAGUGAAAGUAAAAUUUCAUGGAGGGCCGAACCGACCUCCGUUGAAAAGGCGGCGGAUGAAUUGUGGGUAGCGGAGAAAUUCCAAUCGAACUCGGAGAUAGCUGGUUCUCCCCGAAAUAGCUUUAGGGCUAGCCUCAUGUUAGAUAUCCGGAGGUAAAGCACUGAAUGGCCUAGCGUCCGAGAGGAUAGCGAAGCCUAUCAAACUAAGAAUGCCGGAAUAUUGAUGCAUGGGAGUCAGACAGUGUGAGAUAAAUCUCAUUGUCAAAAGGGAAACAGCCCAGAUCUACAGCUAAGGUCCCAAAUUGUAUCUAAGUGGAAAACGAUGUGGAAAUACGCAGACAACCAGGAUGUUGGCUCAGAAGCAGCCACUCAUUUAAAGAGUGCGUAAUAGCUCACUGGUCGAGCGUCUCUGCGCGGAAAAUUUAACGGGGCUAAGAUACAAACCGAAGCUUAGGCUGCACUUUUAGUGCGGGGUAGGGGAGCGUUGUGUAAGCGGAGAAACGAUAGCGUAAGCGGUCGUGGAGUUUACAGAAGUGAGAAUGCCGGAAUGAGUAGCGCGAAUGAUGUGAGAAUCAUCAUGGCCGGAAACCUCAGGUUUUUGGAGGAAGGUUCGUCCGCUCCAAGUUAGGCGGGAGCUAAGGUGAGGCCGAAAGGCGUAGCCGAUGCACAGACGGUAGAUAUUCCGUCCCCACCGAAAGAUUUAAGCGCAGGGACACUUUUAGAAGGUCGGAGCCAGGUGUUGGUUCUGGUAGAGAUCGAGGGAAAUUUAGUACCGAAGUCCGGCUGGAUAAGAGGCGAGAAAAGCUGCGUGUAUAUCUAAGGUGCCCGUACCGCAAACCGACACAGGUAGGUAGGAAGAAGAUUCUAAGGCCAACGGGAGAAGGGUUGUUAAGGAACUCGGCAAGUUGACCCCGUAACUUCGGAAUAAGGGGUGCUCAUGAAAGUGAGCCGCAGAGAAUAGGCCCAGGCAACUGUUUACCAAAAACACAGGUUUGUGCUAAAUCGAAAGAUGACGUAUACGAGCUGACGCCUGCCCGGUGCUGGAAGGUUAAAAGGAGAUGUGCAAGCAUUGAAUUGAAGCCCCAGUGAACGGCGGCCGUAACUAUAACGGUCCUAAGGUAGCGAAAUUCCUUGUCAGGUAAGUUCUGACCCGCAUGAAAGGCGUAAUGAUCUGGGCACUGUCUCAACAGCCCGCCCGGCGAAAUUGUAGUACCGGUGAAGAUGCCGGUUACCCGCGACAAGACGGAAAGACCCCAUGGAGCUUUACUGUAGCCU
rnacentral:rRNA from 1 species